rnacentral:misc_RNA from 1 species
GUUUAAAAUGUCAAAGAUGGCAAACACAAAAUUUGAGGUGGAGCCCUUUGAUUGGAAAAAUAAUUUCAGCUUAUGGCAAAGUACUAUGAAGGAUGUUCCUGUACAACAAAGAUUAAUUAAAGCAUUGAACGNNNNNNNNNGAUGAUUAGGAGGAGCUUUAAUAGAAGGCUGUGAGUACGAUUAGAUUAACGUUAGCCCCAG